UACGAGGGGGGCAAGCGUUGUUCGGAAUUAUUGGGCGUAAAGGGCGCGUAGGCGGUGCGGUAAGUCACCUGUGAAAACUCUGGGCUCAACUCAGAGCCUGCAGGCGAAACUGCCGUGCUUGAGUGUGGGAGAGGUGCGUGGAAUUCCCGGUGUAGCGGUGAAAUGUGUAGAGAUCGGGAGGAACACCGGUGGCGAAGGCGGGUCUCUGGGCAAUUCCUGACGCUGAGGCGCGAAAGCGUGGGGAGCAAACAGG
rnacentral:rRNA from 1 species